rnacentral:rRNA from 2 species
CGGGACUCUCACGAGGCCUCGUAAUCGGAAUGAGUACACUUUAAAUAUUUUAACGAGGAACAAUUGGAGGGCAAGUCUGGUGCCAGCAGCCGCGGUAAUUCCAGCUCCAAUAGCGUAUACUAAAUUUGUUGCGGUUAAAAAGCUCGUAGUUGCAUUUGUGCGCCGCGCUGUCGGUGCACCGCAUCCGCGGUGAUACUGACACGUUUGCGGAGCAUAUCGUCGGUGAGCCGCCGGUAAAACGGCGGUUCAAUAUCAAAAUCCUAUCGCGGUGCUCUUCAGUGAGUGUCGAGGUGGGCCGGCAAUUUUACUUUGAACAAAUUAGAGUGCUCAAAGCGGGCUCAAAACGCUGCUUGAAUAUUUCGUGCAUGGAAUAAUAGAAUAUGAUCUCGGUUCUAUUUUGUUGGUUUUCAGAACUCCGAGGUAAUGAUUAAUAGGGAUAACUGGGGGCAUUCGUAUUGCGACGUUAGAGGUGAAAUUCUUGGAUCGUCGCAAGACGAACAUCAGCGAAAGCAUUUGCCAAAGGUGUUUUCAUCAAUCAAGAACGAAAGUUAGAGGUUCGAAGGCGAUUAGAUACCGCCCUAGUUCUAACCGUAAAUAUGUCAUCUAGCGAUCCGCCGACGUUAAUCAAAUGGCUCGGCGGGCAGCUUCCGGGAAACCAAAGAUUUUGGACUCCGGGGGGAGUAUGGUUGCAAAGCUGAAACUUAAAGGAA